rfam:Puccinia triticina 1-1 BBBD Race 1 supercont2.209, whole genome shotgun sequence.
GUGUGCUUAGCUCAAUGGUUAGAGCAUCACUCAUGAAUGCUGAGUAUGUGAGUUUGACUCUCACAGUACACA